rnacentral:lncRNA from 1 species
CCGGUCAUUGUCUAUUCGAAGCAGUUCUACCAGGAUUGGCAGUCCUUUUUCUUUGCGGACAGCAGCACGGAUAUACACUGACCACUUCCAACUCCCAGCAGCCAAGUUCUGCAAUGCCCCUGCUGCCCCUUCCAGCGUGUCUGGAUUUGAGCACUCAGAAAGAAGUGUGAGGUAGGGUUUGACUAUUGAAGGGUGCCACAGCAUCUGGAUUCCUUUGGGUGGUUCUGCACAGUCUGGGAGAGGUCCUACUCCAUCCCACUGAUCCUGUGAUUUCUUUUUCUUCUUCUUCUUCCCCCAGCAUCCUGAACUCUCUGCAUCUUUUCCAUUGGCAUCACCACAGAGUAAUCCAUCAAGCUCAUCUGUUCCCAUCUGCUGUCCCUGAGAUGUUUCUGCAGCUAGCCUGUAUGAGAGGUUCCUCAAAAUGCACACACAGUUUUCAACGGUCUUACUAUCAAUUUCACUGCUCCCCAGAGCAGACUGGAUCACGUACAGCAAUGCAUCUGUCAGGCCAUCACACUCCCUCAUCCUUCUGCGGG